rnacentral:rRNA from 1 species
GACGUAGGGCGCAAGCGUUGUCCGGAAUUAUUGGGCGUAAAGAGCUCGUAGGCGGUUUGUCGCGUCUGCUGUGAAAACCCGAGGCUCAACCUCGGGCCUGCAGUGGGUACGGGCAGACUAGAGUGCGGUAGGGGAGAUUGGAAUUCCUGGUGUAGCGGUGGAAUGCGCAGAUAUCAGGAGGAACACCAAUGGCGAAGGCAGAUCUCUGGGCCGUAACUGACGCUGAGGAGCGAAAGCAUGGGGAGCGAACAGG